GCGUCUUUCAGCGGCGGAGCGCGCCAGGCAGAGCCGGAUCAUGUACAUGAGUAGGCCUGGGAUGCGCAGCAGGUCCAUGGCGUUACCGAUAAAGGCUGAGGCAAUGACGUAGUUCACGAAGAAAGCGCCGUUGUCGGGCAGGAACACACACCUAAGGGCAGCAGGUGCUCCAGCACUGCACCCUUGGGGUGACCUGGUGGCUGUCUGCCCACUGCUAGCAUGACAGCACCCCAUGCUCUUACCCUCUGUGACCUCCUCUACAUGUACACACCCAGCUUAGACGGCCCCCCCAAAUACCCGUGCCCUAGUCUUUCCACAGUAUGAACCCCAGAAUAUCAAAAUAAUAAAGCCAGCCCAGAGACCUACCUAGAGAUGGCAUGCCCUGAAAAAACGAGUUCAAGGCCACAAAAGGCCACCAGCAUGUGCAGCAAAUAAUUGCUGAGAGCUGAGACUUCCACAGAAAAUUUCAAUGGCACUCUCAAGAGAUCUCCAGGGAUGUAAGCCCCAACAAACUGGGCUUGGUGACGUUGAACUUGUCCAUGGUGGUGAUGAUGAUGGCCGGGGUGGUGAGGAAGAAGAGCAGAAUGAAGAGGACCACAUUGAUGACCAGGCAGCGCAGCCACCAGAUGAAGCCUCGGAUGGAGAGGUGUUCCCUGGGAAAGUGGGGGAGGGGUCACUUUGA
ensembl:antisense Gm16172 predicted gene 16172